rnacentral:rRNA from 1 species
GCCUACAGCCAUACCACCCUGAGAUCUCGUCUGAUCUCGGAAGCUAAGCAGGGUUGGGCUCUGUUAGUACUUGGAUAGGAGACCGCCUGGGAAUACCGGGUGCUGUAGGCU